GAAUAUUGGACAAUGGGCGAAAGCCUGAUGCAGCAACGCCGCGUGCGCGAAGAAGGCCUUCGGGUCGUAAAGCGCUUUUCUGACUGCAGAGAAAGGAAAGUAGGUCAGGAAUAAGUGUCGGCUAACUACGUGCCAGCAGCCGCGGUAAAACGUAGGACGCAAGCGUUAUCCGGAGUUACUGGGCGUAAAGCGCGGGCAGGCGGUUCUGCAGGUUGGAUGUGAAAGCGCCCGGCUCAACCGGGCGAGGCCAUUCAAAACCGCAGGACUAGAGGGCAGUAGAGGUGUGUGGAAUUCCGGGUGGAGCGGUGAAAUGCGUAGAGAUCCGGAGGAACACCAGAGGCGAAGGCGACACACUGGGCUGCACCUGACGCUGAGCCGCGAAAGCAUGGGGAGCGAACGGG
rnacentral:rRNA from 1 species